rnacentral:rRNA from 1 species
UACGGAGGGUGCAAGCGUUAAUCGGAAUUACUGGGCGUAAAGCGCACGCAGGCGGUCUGUCAAGUCGGAUGUGAAAUCCCCGGGCUCAACCUGGGAACUGCAUUCGAAACUGGCAGGCUAGAGUCUUGUAGAGGGGGGUAGAAUUCCAGGUGUAGCGGUGAAAUGCGUAGAGAUCUGGAGGAAUACCGGUGGCGAAGGCGGCCCCCUGGACAAAGACUGACGCUCAGGUGCGAAAGCGUGGGGAGCAAACAGGAUUAGAUA